rnacentral:rRNA from 1 species
UACGGAAGGUCCGGGCGUUAUCCGGAUUUAUUGGGUUUAAAGGGAGCGCAGGCGGAGAUGCAAGCGUGACGUCAAAUUUCGGGGCUCAACCCCGUCUCGCGUCGCGAACUGCGUCCCUUGGUUGCGGGAAGGGGAGGCGGAACUCGUGGUGUAGCGGUGAAAUGCAUAGAUAUCACGAAGAACUCCGAUCGCGAAGGCAGCCUUCCGGCCCGUCAACGACGCUCAUGCUCGAAGGUGCGGGUAUCAAACAGGAUUAGAUACCCUGGUAGUCCGCACAGUAAACGAUGGACACCCGCGGUUUGGCCUAUAUGGCUGAGCCGCCAAGCGAAAGCGUUAAGUGUCCCACCUGGGGAGUACGCCGGCAACGGUGAAACUCAAAUGAAUUGACGGGG